CCUACGGGCGGCAGCAGUGGGGAAUAUUGCACAAUGGGGGAAACCCUGAUGCAGCGACGCCGCGUGAGUGAAGAAGUAUUUCGGUACGUAAAGCUCCAUCAGCAGGGAAGAAAAUGACGGUACCUGACUAAGAAGCCCCGGCUAACUACGUGCCAGCAGCCGCGGUAAUACGGAGGGGGCAAGCGUUAUCCGGAUUUACUGGGUGUAAAGGGAGCGUAGACGGCAGCGCAAGUCUGGAGUGAAAUCCCAUGGCUUAACCAUGGAACUGCAUUGGAAACUGUGCAGCUAGAGUGCAGGAGAGGUAAGCGGAAUUCCUAGUGUAGCGGUGAAAUGCGUAGAUAUUAGGAGGAACACCAGUGGCGAAGGCGGCUUACUGGUCUGUAACUGACGUUGAGGCUCGAAAGCGUGGGGAGCAAACAGGAUUAGAUACCCGGGUAGUC
rnacentral:rRNA from 1 species